rnacentral:misc_RNA from 1 species
UCCGGUUUGUCACCGGCAGUCUCAUUAGAGUGCUCUUUCGUAGCAACUAAUGACAAGGGUUGCGCUCGUUGCGGGACUUAACCCAACAUCUCACGACACGAGCUGGCGACAGCCAUGCAGCACCUGUGUAAAGGCUCUCUUUCGAGCACUCCCCAAUCUCUCAGGGAUUCCUUCCAUGUCAAGGGUAGGUAAGGUUUUUCGCGUUGCAUCGAAUUAAUCCACAUCAUCCACCGCUUGUGCGGGUCCCCGUCAAUUCCUUUGAGUUUUAAUCUUGCGAUCGUACUCCCCAGGCGGAAUGCUUAACGCGUUAGCUGCGCCACCGAAGAGCAUGCUCUCCAACGGCUGGCAUUCAUCGUUUACGGCGUGGACUAC